rnacentral:lncRNA from 1 species
UGGCUAAGGGUCUUGACCAGUGGGGCACUGAAGAAGCGAGCCACACCUCCAUCGUACGCCCUGCGAGGAGGAAAUUGCCACAGUCACCUCAACCUUCAGCAACCACCAACUUGAUCAAUCAGCAGCCAAUAACGUGAAGUCAUGACCAUUCACCAGCAAAAAGUUUAUGAUUCACCAAAAUAUUAGAUGAUCAUUAACAUUUUUAGCAAUAAUGUAUUUGUCAUUAAGGUGUUAGUGCAUUGGAAAAUCAUUUAAAGAAUGUAUCAGCUAAUUGAAGGCUUAUGUGUAAACAAGAUUCCUGCCAGGCUUUGACUACUACCCUUGGCCUUCCUAUACAGGGUUGUAAAGAAUCAUCAUGAUGUAUGUUUGAAAUUAUGUUUAACAGUAUUACAGUCAAUAUAGACUAAAUUUUGAUGCAGUAACAACCUCAGAACUUUUACAAUCAUUGCUGGACUGAGAGAGAAAGAGAGAGUGAACAGGGAAUGUCACAUGAGCAGAGAAUGUCACUAUCUCAACUGUAAAAAACAAACAUUACUUCUACUCACAUUUCAUUGCCCAGAACUAGUCCUAUACCUGUGCCUAACUGGAAAUGAGCACAAACUAUCGUGUCUGUCAUGCUCAAGGAGAGGAAAUUGGUUAUUGGUCAGUGUCAAUAUUGUCCACAAAUGUGAAUUACAUUUUAUAAGGUGUUGACUCUGCCUGUCACCCACAAAAGAGCUUUGAGUACAAUUGGCAAACCGUAUAUGCUAUAUUUUUAAAACAAUAUUUCUCUUCCAUGUGUUAAAUGUAAUAAUUGUUUUAGAUUAUUUAACUUGAUAUAUUACUAAGCUUUUUUUCCCUACUCAAACAAAAAGUACUCUUACAAUCAAAGAAACAUGUUUAUUGUUGUUGUUGAUUUAAUUUUCAAACACAUUUGAAGGACUCAAAACACAACCACUCUUUCAAACCUCAAAUAUCAACUAAGUUAUAAUCAGUAUCUUUUGUAUGGUAAGGCACUAGACCCAGAAUAACAGAAGAAAAACAAUGGAAGAUAAAUUUAAAAGUUAAUGGAAGAAAACAUAAUUAUGGAGAGUUACAACUAUUACAUGUUUACUUUUAAACUGGUAAUUGAUAUCUAAAAUAAGUAAGGGUUUGAUAUGGGAAGAAUAGUAAACGGGAGAUAGGAGCACUAAUUUUAAGACACUUUUUUGACAUCAGUUAGUAAAACAAUUUUGGAAAAAAACAAUGAUCUAUGUUUCUUAAAUCUAAUUAAUUUAUAUUAUUUCAUAUAUAUUUUUUAAAAUGAGCUAUCCUUCAAAAUGCAACCGAUUAGAAUAUUUUACUAUCUUUUCUAUGAAGUUUAAGGUUUAAUAAGCUUUCACUUUAACUUUCUAAUACAAUGGAAUAAUUUCUAUUGUCAUUUUAUUGUGUAAUACUAUUGUAAAGCUUUAAAACAUAAAAAAAUACAAAAACAUAAAAUUUACAUUUUAUAUAAAGAUACAAUUUGUAAAACAAUUUAGAACAUAUUAUUCUAUUACAAUAAAUUAUCCUGCAAACUUUUAGGGUUGUUCUUUGCUUCUAAUAUCCCAUAUGAGAAUUUACUAAUCUUAAGCUGUCAGAUCUUACUUUUCUCACUUCCUUAACCAUAUUUUCUGCCUUCAUCUCACCCUUGCAUUCUCAAGCUUUCUUGACCUAUGGCAAAAUAAAUAUUAAUAUGAAUUCAUAGACAGAUGUAUAUUUAUAGAUCUGUGGAAGAUUAAUAUCUCAUAUCCAUUUUUUGUUGUAUUUAUUUAUGAAUUUAUUUAUUCAUGUGGCCCAGUUUGGCUUUUUGAAAUGAUAGCCUCAUGAAAUGUUUCAUAAUGAUAUCUUUAUUCUGUGACUGGAUUAAAAUUUAUGUUAUUUCUGUAAACUCAGUUUGAAUUACUCCAUCUUUGAUGUCUAUAGUAUGGAAUUAACACAGUGGAGUUUAUGUGCUUCAUGGGACCCUUAAGUGCAAACUUGUAAAAUCUUUCAUUAUUUCAAUAAUUACACAUGAUAAUAAUUUAGAGACAUGAGUGACAUCUAAACUUUGAAAACGGCAUUGUGCUCUUUCUAAAUGUAUUAUGGAGGAUUUCUCUCAUUUUUCUUGUCUUAAUUGUUUAAAUGCAUUUGAGCAAAGUUUCCA